UGAGGUAGUAGGUUGUAUAGUUUUAGGGUCACACCCACCACUGGGAGAUAACUAUACAGUCUACUGUCUUUC
rnacentral:pre_miRNA from 1 species